GACGAACGCUGGCGGCGUGCCUAAUACAUGCAAGUCGAACGAGAGCGACCGGUGCUUGCACUGGUCAAUCUAGUGGCGAACGGGUGAGUAACACGUGGGUAACCUGCUCAUCAGAGGGGGAUAACAUCCGGAAACGGAUGCUAAAACCGCAUAGGUCUUCGAGCCGCAUGGCUUGAAGAGGAAAAGAGGCGCAAGCUUCUGCUGAUGGAUGGACCCGCGGUGCAUUAGCUAGUUGGUGAGGUAACGGCUCACCAAGGCCGUGAUGCAUAGCCGACCUGAGAGGGUGAUCGGCCACAUUGGGACUGAGACACGGCCCAAACUCCUACGGGAGGCAGCAGUAGGGAAUCUUCCGCAAUGGACGCAAGUCUGACGGAGCAACGCCGCGUGAGUGAGGAAGGUUUUCGGAUCGUAAAACUCUGUUGUUAGAGAAGAACAAGUGCUAGAGUAACUGUUAGCGCCUUGACGGUAUCUAACCAGAAAGCCACGGCUAACUACGUG
rnacentral:rRNA from 1 species